ensembl:lncRNA
AUGGAACCCUCUCUAAUGCAAAUUUGGUUGAGUGUGGUGUACCGCAAGGCAGCUGGCUUUGGCCAUUAUUGUUUUCUGUUUUUACUAAUGACCUUCCACAGACCUUGAAUAAAGCCUGUGUGUCUAGGAACACUGAUGCCUCAACAGUAUACACAUCGCCUACAACAGAGUAAAAUUAACAACUGACGCCUUUAACAUAGAGCUCCAGUCAGUUUUAGAAUGGUAAACUAGCAAUAGCCUGGUGCUAAAUAUAUCAAAAACAAAAAGUAUUGUUUUUGGGACAAAUCACUCGCUUAGCCAUAAACAUCAUCUAAAUCUAUUAUUAAAUAACAUGGUGAUUGAGCAAGUUGAGGAGACUAAACUGCUGGGUGUAACCCUAAAUAGCAAGCUGUAAUGGUCAAAACAUAUAGACUCAAUGGUUGCUAAAAUGUGAACAGGGCUGCCCAUGAUAAGGCAUUGCUCUGCUUUCAUGACAUCUCAAUCAACCAAACAGGUCCUACAGGCGCUAGUUUUGUUGGCACCUGUACUACUGCCCAGUUGUGUGGUCAUGUGAAGAAGAAGAGGGGCUGCAGUGUAGCCUAGUGGUUAGAGCACUGGACUAGUAACCGAAAGGUUGCAAGUUCAAAUCCCCGAGCUGACAAGGUACAAAAUCUGUCAUUCUGCCCUUGAACAGGCAGUUAACCCACUGUUCCUAAGCUGUCAUUGAAAAUAAGAAUUUGUUCUUAACUGACUUGCCUAGUAAAAUAAUGGUUAAAAAAAAAAAAAAAAAAAAAAAAAAAAAGAAGGACAUAGGCAAAUUGCAUUUGGUCCAGAUCAGAGCAGCACAUAUAGCACUUAAUUUACAAGUAGGGGGAAUGUCAAUGACAUGCAUGUGGAUUUCUCCUGGCUCAAAGUUGAGGAGAGAUUGACUGCAUUACUAUUGGUCUUUGUGCAAGGUGUUUAUGUAUUGAAUGUACCGAACUGUCUGUUCAAGCAAGACAUGCAACCAGAGGUCUCAUCACAUUCCCCAGGUCCAGAACAGAGGCUGGGAAAUGCACAGUAUUAAAUAGAGCCAUGAUUACAUGAAACUUUCUGCCACUCUAACUGAAGCUAGCAAUAAAUCCAGAUAAAAGAACACCUUCCUGCACAACAGGGA